CUUCAUAGCUGAAGAACGUUGAGAUUUGAGAAUAAGUUUUGUUUUCGAAGCGUAGAUCCAAGUGUUGUUACAUGCCCUUAAGUUCCAAGCCUGUCUCCUUUUCUCUACUAACAUAAAUAAGUUUUGUGUAUUUUCAGAAGCCCAUUUAGGGCUCAGCCAUUGCUACAUCUCUAUCUCGAUGUUGAACUUCAGGAGAUUGACUUCGGCUCCUCGUAGAAAUAGAUGGCCUGGGAGCUCGUUCUGGAGGCUCUAAAAACGCAAAGUCAACCUCCAGUUUUUCAUCUAACAAAGAGAGGUUUUUUUCGUCUACAGCUUUCUGGGCUUGCUCCAAUGUAGCAUAUUCUAUCAGUGCAUAUCCCUUUACAUAACCUGUACGUCGAUCUAAAUUGAGGUGCAAGUUUUUGACCGGUCCAAAAUCUGCAAAUAAAUCCUCUACUUGUUCUUCGGUAGCUUCUGGAUGAACUCCAGUGACUAUGAUGAUAUAACCUUCGACAGAUUUUGCUGGUCGC